GGUUAAGCGACUAAGCGUACACGGUGGAUGCCCUGGCAGUCAGAGGCGAUGAAGGACGUGCUAAUCUGCGAAAAGCGUCGGUAAGGUGAUAUGAACCGUUAUAGCCGGCGAUGUCCGAAUGGGGAAACCCAGUGCAAUUCGUUGCACUAUCGUUAACUGAAUACAUAGGUUAACGAGGCGAACCGGGGGAACUGAAACAUCUAAGUACCCCGAGGAAAAGAAAUCAACCGAGAUUCCCCCAGUAGCGGCGAGCGAACGGGGAGCAGCCCAGAGUCUGAAUCAGCUUGUGUGUUAGUGGAACGGUCUGGAAAGUCCGACGGUACAGGGUGAUAGUCCCGUACACCAAAAUGCACAGGCUGUGAACUCGAAGAGUAGGGCGGGACACGUGGUAUCCUGUCUGAAUAUGGGGGGACCAUCCUCCAAGGCUAAAUACUCCUGACUGACCGAUAGUGAACCAGUACCGUGAGGGAAAGGCGAAAAGAACCCCGGCGAGGGGAGUGAAAAAGAACCUGAAACCGUGUACGUACAAGCAGUGGGAGCACCUUCGGGUGUGACUGCGUACCUUUUGUAUAAUGGGUCAGCGACUUAUAUUCUGUAGCAAGGUUAACCGUAUAGGGGAGCCGCAGGGAAACCGAGUCUUAACUGGGCGUUAAGUUGCAGGGUAUAGACCCGAAACCCGGUGAUCUAGCCAUGGGCAGGUUGAAGGUUGGGUAACACUAACUGGAGGACCGAACCGACUAAUGUUGAAAAAUUAGCGGAUGACUUGUGGCUGGGGGUGAAAGGCCAAUCAAACCGGGAGAUAGCUGGUUCUCCCCGAAAGCUAUUUAGGUAGCGCCUCGUGAACUCAUCUUCGGGGGUAGAGCACUGUUUCGGCUAGGGGGUCAUCCCGACUUACCAACCCGAUGCAAACUACGAAUACCGAAGAAUGUUAUCACGGGAGACACACGGCGGGUGCUAACGUCCGUCGUGAAGAGGGAAACAACCCAGACCGCCAGCUAAGGUCCCAAAGUCAUGGUUAAGUGGGAAACGAUGUGGGAAGGCACAGACAGCCAGGAUGUUGGCUUAGAAGCAGCCAUCAUUUAAAGAAAGCGUAAUAGCUCACUGGUCGAGUCGGCCUGCGCGGAAGAUGUAACGGGGCUAAACCAUGCACCGAAGCUGCGGCAGCGACACUAUGUGUUGUUGGGUAGGGGAGCGUUCUGUAAGCCUGCGAAGGUGACCUGUGAGGGUUGCUGGAGGUAUCAGAAGUGCGAAUGCUGACAUAAGUAACGAUAAAGCGGGUGAAAAGCCCGCUCGCCGGAAGACCAAGGGUUCCUGUCCAACGUUAAUCGGGGCAGGGUGAGUCGACCCCUAAGGCGAGGCCGAAAGGCGUAGUCGAUGGGAAACAGGUUAAUAUUCCUGUACUUGGUGUUACUGCGAAGGGGGGACGGAGAAGGCUAUGUUAGCCGGGCGACGGUUGUCCCGGUUUAAGCAUGUAGGCUGGUUAUCCAGGCAAAUCCGGAUAAUCAAGGCUGAGGUGUGAUGACGAGGCACUACGGUGCUGAAGUAACAAAUGCCCUGCUUCCAGGAAAAGCCUCUAAGCAUCAGGUAACAUCAAAUCGUACCCCAAACCGACACAGGUGGUCAGGUAGAGAAUACCAAGGCGCUUGAGAGAACUCGGGUGAAGGAACUAGGCAAAAUGGUGCCGUAACUUCGGGAGAAGGCACGCUGGUGUGUAGGUGAAGUCCCUGCGGAUGGAGCUGAGACCAGUCGAAGAUACCAGCUGGCUGCAACUGUUUAUUAAAAACACAGCACUGUGCAAACACGAAAGUGGACGUAUACGGUGUGACGCCUGCCCGGUGCCGGAAGGUUAAUUGAUGGGGUUAUCCGUAAGGAGAAGCUCUUGAUCGAAGCCCCGGUAAACGGCGGCCGUAACUAUAACGGUCCUAAGGUAGCGAAAUUCCUUGUCGGGUAAGUUCCGACCUGCACGAAUGGCGUAAUGAUGGCCAGGCUGUCUCCACCCGAGACUCAGUGAAAUUGAACUCGCUGUGAAGAUGCAGUGUACCCGCGGCAAGACGGAAAGACCCCGUGAACCUUUACUAUAGCUUGACACUGAACAUUGAGCCUUGAUGUGUAGGAUAGGUGGGAGGCUUUGAAGCGUGGACGCCAGUCUGCGUGGAGCCAACCUUGAAAUACCACCCUUUAAUGUUUGAUGUUCUAACGUUGGCCCCUUACCGGGGUUGCGGACAGUGUCUGGUGGGUAGUUUGACUGGGGCGGUCUCCUCCCAAAGCGUAACGGAGGAGCACGAAGGUUAGCUAAUCCUGGUCGGACAUCAGGAGGUUAGUGCAAUGGCAUAAGCUAGCUUGACUGCGAGCGUGACGGCGCGAGCAGGUGCGAAAGCAGGUCAUAGUGAUCCGGUGGUUCUGAAUGGAAGGGCCAUCGCUCAACGGAUAAAAGGUACUCCGGGGAUAACAGGCUGAUACCGCCCAAGAGUUCAUAUCGACGGCGGUGUUUGGCACCUCGAUGUCGGCUCAUCACAUCCUGGGGCUGAAGUAGGUCCCAAGGGUAUGGCUGUUCGCCAUUUAAAGUGGUACGCGAGCUGGGUUUAGAACGUCGUGAGACAGUUCGGUCCCUAUCUGCCGUGGGCGCUGGAGAAUUGAGGGGGGCUGCUCCUAGUACGAGAGGACCGGAGUGGACGCAUCACUGGUGUUCGGGUUGUCAUGCCAAUGGCACUGCCCGGUAGCUAAAUGCGGAAGAGAUAAGUGCUGAAAGCAUCUAAGCACGAAACUUGCCCCGAGAUGAGUUCUCCCUGAGACUUUAAGUCUCCUGAAGGAACGUUGAAGACGAUGACGUUGAUAGGCCGGGUGUGUAAGCGCAGCGAUGCGUUGAGCUAACCGGUACUAAUGAACCGUGAGGCUUAACCUUAC
rnacentral:rRNA from 1 species